ensembl:lncRNA
CCAGCUGUGACCACUACAUCACCUGUCUCCAGCUGUGACCACUACAUCACCUGUCUCCAGCUGUGACCACUACAUCACCUGUCUCCAGCUGUGACCGCUUGAAAACCAUACAAUGUCCAUGCAGUCACAGGAUUAAGAGUAUGGACUAGGACACAAAAAUACGGCACACGAAUAGAUUAUGGACCACGCUACACGAAUAGAUUAUGGACCACGCUACACGAAUAGAUUAUGGACCACGCUACACGAAUAGAUUAUGGACCACGCUACACGAAUAGAUUAUGGACCACGCUACAUGAAUAGAUUAUGGACCACGCUACAUGAAUAGAUUAUGGACCACGGCACAUGAAUACAUUAUGGACCACGGCACACAAAUAGAUUAUGGACCACGCUACAUGAAUACAUUAUGGACCACGCCACACGAAUAGAUUAUGGACCACGGCACACAAAUAGAUUAUGGACCACGCUACACAAAUAGAUUAUGGACCACGCUACACGAAUAGAUUAUGGACCACGCUACACGAAUAGAUUAUGGACCACGCUACACGAAUAGACUAUUGACCGCGGCAUAGGAAUAGACUCUUGACCGCGGCAUAGGAAUAGACUCUUGACCGCGGCAUAGGAAUAGACUCUUGACCGCGGCAUAGGAAUAGACUCUUGACCGCGGCAUAGGAAUAGACUCUUGACCACGGCAUAGGAGUAGACUAUUGGUCGCGGUAUAGGAAUAGACUCUUGACCGCGGCAUAGGAGUACACUAUUGAAUAGGCCACACAAAUAGAAUUUGGAUCACGCCACCGGAAUUGACUUUGGGCCACACCAUAUGGAAGUGAGAAGCACAAUGGGAAGGGAUUAGGGUACUAUGUAUAUCUUCAGGUUGUUUGCACCUUGCUGAGGUGAUUGGAGGAGCCAGCGCUGGUUUCUGCCAGACUAGAUGCAGGUGUUGCUGCUCCUAAACAAUGUAUGUUUAGUUAAAUAAUAGGAUAAUUCAUGUGGCUAGAACAUAAAACAACAUGGUCAACACAAGUACAAAUUAGAAAUGUACAGAUCACAAUCAAGCAUUCCUGCUAAUUGAUAGUGCAGAUGGAAGUCUGAUGGUAUGUAUUGUGUAUAUAUUGUAUGCAGUAUAAGCAAUGUGUGAAACUACAAUAUGUAACACAGCCCCUGAUACAAUUUCAAUAUGUAACACAACCCCAGAUACAACUACUAUAUGUGACACAACCCCAGAUACAACUACUAUAUGUGACACAACCCCAGAUACAACUACAUUAUGUAACACAACCUCAGACAUAACUAAAACAUGUAACACAACCCCUCUUCCUAGACUGACACUACUGAGAUACAGGAGAAUGGAUGGUCAUGAUACAUGGAAUAUGUAUCAUGACCUCAGAUACAACUACAAAAUGUAACACAACCCCAGAUACAACUACAAUAUGUAUCAUGACCUCAGAUACAACUACAAAAUGUAACACAACCUCAGACACAACUACAAUAUGUAUCAUGACCUCAGAUACAACUACAAAAUGUAACACAACCUCAGACACAACUAAAACAUGUAACACAACCUCAGACACAACUAAAACAUGUAACACAACCCCUCUUCCUAGACUGACACUACUGAGAUACAGGAGAAUGGAUGGACCAUAUUAUAGCCUUACCUGAAGGAGAAAUUACAUUUCCUGGCAUACACAUCACCAUAGAGGGCUUCCACUGUUUUGAACGUAGUCAACUGGGUGGGACCUUCAGCUUUAUUGGCUGAUCCCUCCUUAAGGCUCUUGCAUGUCCAACUGGGAUCAGUCAGUUGCAAAGAAGAGAUUCCCUCAAUGGCACUGCCCAAGCGUGCGCACGUCAUAGUGACUCAAAAGGACAGAUGAGACCUCUUUUCUCUAUGGGCUGGGCUGACUUGAGAAAGAACAUGUCUUCAUAUUAUUGCUGAGUCCUCUUAUAAUCUCUAUUGGUUGGGUCGACCUGAGAGAGAGUAUGUCUUAAUAUUAUUACUGAGUCCUCUUAUCCAUCUCUAUGGGCUGGGUCGACCUGAGAGAGAACAUGACUUCAUAAUAUUAAUUCAGGGACUAGUUUCGAAGCAAUGACUACUAAUUGAUUACUUAUAGAACCACAUCAAUGAGACUUAUCAAACAGAUUUCCAAAGAUGUCCAGUCAUGAUAACCGGAGACUUUCUGAAGCACAGAAUGAGUACACGGAGUUGUGGAAUGCGUCAGUUAUUUAAUGUGUUGAUAAAUUCACAUAUUCCAAAACCACAAAAUAUAUUUUGUUUUAUCAAACGUCAAGGCUAUAUUUUCUCUGCUACAUUUUGACAAAGUACUUGCACAGAAAGUGAUACUGCGUGCCAACUGUCCUAGGGGUCUGUGAAUACAGUACAUGGUGUCUCUAUAGGACCAACUGAAAGAUGUUUUGUGUCUAUAGGACCAAUUGAAAGAUGUUUUGUGUCUAUAGGACCAAUUGAAAGAUGUUUUGUGUUUAUGGAAACAGGUGAAUGUUGGGUUUUUUUGUCUGUGGGAACAGGAGAAAGAUGUUUUGUGGUAGAAAUAUUUAGGACCUAAAAAGUCCACACUGCAGGUUUUUUUAAAAGCUUACUUCAUGUUUUGUUCCAUGAGACAGUUCAAGCCACGGUUUGGUUAUGCCUUUAAACACUGGCCCUUCAGCUAUGUGCCAUAUUCACCACGAACCACAGUGAAUAAUUGUGUUAGUGAUGCCGGGCCUGAUUGUAGCCCAACAUGGGUAUUUUUAACUGAACCAGCCACUAUGCACAGUGGGCUAACUCACUAACUCAACCAGUGAUAACCAGAUGAGUACACUAGCACACCUUUCUAACUAACUACACUAGCCCACCCUGCAUACUAAACUACCCCACCCUGCAUACUAAACUACCCCAUCCUGCUAACCAAUCUAACCCAACCAGCUAACGAACUACACUAGCCCUCCCGGCUAACUAAUUACAUUAGCCCAACCUGUUAACUAAUUACACUAGCCUACCAUGCUAGCUCACCCUGUUAAUUACACAAACCCUCACUAACCCUGUGUUUGAGCAUAUCUUUUCAUCCUACAUUAUCCCAAGGCAUCAUACACCAUCCCACGGCGUCAUACACCAUGCCACGGCGUCAUACACCAUGCCACGGCGUCAUACACCAUGCCACGGCGUCAUACACCAUGCCACGGCGUCAUACACCAUCCCACGGCGUCAUACACCAUCCCACGGCGUCAUACACCAUCCCACGGCGUCAUACACCAUCCCACGGCGUCAUACACCAUCCCACGGCGUCCUACAUUAUCCCACAGCGCCAAUAAACUUUAUCCCACAGCGUCAAUAAACUUUUCCCCACAGAGUCUCACACUAUCCCAGAGCGUCAUACACUAUCCGACAGCGUUAAUACACUAUCCGGCAGCCGUCAUACACUAUCCGACAGCGUUAAUACACUAUCCGGCAGCGUCAUACACUAUCCGACAGCGUUAAUACACUAUCCGGCAGCGUCAUACACUAUCCCACAGCGUUAAUACACUAUCCGGCAGCAUCAUACACUAUCCCACAGCGUUAAUACACUAUCCGGCAGCGUCAUACACUAUCCCAGAGGGUCAAUACACUAUAUGACAGCGUCCUACACCAUUUAACAGCUUGAGGAUUCAAACUACCAACCUUUGGGUUAUUGGUCAGUCUUUAACCAUUACAAUAUUCUACAUCCUAUCUAUCUGCCCUUUGUGUUUCCUGCUGUUAACUGUGGGAGCUGUCCUACUCUUAUCAAGCCUAGGGCCCUUCAUGACCAUUUACAUUAUUUGCAUUUUAGUCAACUGAUACUGUACAUGACCUGUAGUACAAGCUGCUCUGUAUAGCUGUGUCCUACUAGAUCUCACAAAGACAAAUGUACAGGAAUAUAAUACUUGACCAUUUGCCAUUACAUGUCAAACGCCAAAAGAUACAUAUUUGUAUGUAGCUUCUGCCAAAAUGCAUUUGAGACACGUGCUUAAAAUCAACACAAUUGGUUUUCUUACACAAGAGGGAUGUAUAGUACAGUGCCCAAUGAGGCUACACACCUCAUGCAAGCUUUGUAAAUGUUUCUGCUGCCUUAAAAUGACCACUAUACAUUUUCCUAAAAAAUAUUAAAAACAAAGAUGUCUUGACUGGGCAUGUCUUCACACCGCGUAUUUGUACUGUGGAAACUCCCCUUGGUAGUCAUUACAGCUACGGAACAUUUGGAAUUAGAUAUCUUUAAUUUUGAAAAAGGGGAGUAGGUUGUGUACAUGGUUAGGGAUAAUCUAACAUAUAUUCUAAUGUAAUGUAUUCCAAUGUGAGAUUUCAAUGAAGGCAGCACCAUGUUAAGAGCAGGGGGUGUAUAGCCUGGCCAGUGACUUACUGUUCACUUUGUUUUGGCAGCUCUCUGUAUCAUGAAUGUACACAGCUACAAUAAAAGUCAGAAUCAAUCUGUUAAUCAAUAGUGAAACACUAAUAUCAACCUCUUUAUUGUGUCAGCACUGUACACUAAGCUUAUUCGACUGAACUAUUAGACAUGUGUGGUCCUGUAAACUGCAUGAAAAUGUGUUUAUCAAAUGAACCUGUUGUGUAUUUUUUUUUUAUCAUAUAUUGUGGAUGUUUUUGUACAUAAAAAGCACUUUAUUUUCUUUUUUUUUUUUUAAGAUGAAUAAUAAAUAUGUGUUUUGAAAUACACUUUCCUUACACUCCGUUUUUAUAUUUAAAAGCAUGUACAAUUUCC